CAUCUAAGGGAUGAUGUUGCAGCGGUAUUAAGAACCUCCGCUGCAAAUAGGACUCCCACUAACUUUGAUGAUACUUUUCUAUUUUUAAAUAUUCGGAUAUUUUUAUCUGGCCAAUAAUAGGUCAUAGCGUUGUUCAAAGGCGUGUUUUUAGCGUCUGUUUUUGGGCAUCGGGAAGGCUGCCCCAAUUAGGAUCCCGUCUUCGCAUCAAGGAAAAGUUCUGCAACAAUUUAUCGCAAUUCACGAUGACGUCGGUGCCACGACGCCAUUCCCCGCCGCGCCAACCUUAUUCAAAGGAAAGAAAACCCCUUUAUUUUUUUUCCUUUCCUUUUGUCCGGCGUAGAACUAAAGCAAAGUGGGCCACAAGCUCGCCGAAAUAUCAUCGCACGUCCUGCCAAAAAGAAAUAAAAAGAAAUUAUCGCAGAAAGUAAACAUUGUGUCAAAAAGGUAAACUAAAAAAUCAAAAGAAAAAAAUGGAGGAGUAGUGGGGGAGCAGCACGGGAAGCGGCUUUUCAUGCUUGUUCUCACGUCUCUGUCUCUCUCUUUCUUUCCCUCUCGCCGUUCUCAAAUAAGAUAUUAAUAUCUCGCCGGUGGUCAUCACGACGUGGAACCGAGGGGCGCGCCCACCUCGAAGGCGUGAUCCUCCCCACCAUCUUCGGCGUUUCCACGCGACUUGCCGGCAGGCACGUGGCCUCCCGUCCGCCCCCACGGCGACCAUUACACGCGUCGCCAUGGGCGGCGACGUCGCGAUGGAGGAGAUGCCGCCGUCCAAGGGGGAUGGAUGAACGAGCGGACACCGUCGUCACACGCGUCUCCGUGGGCGGCGACGUCGCGACGGAGGCGAGGGCGCCGUCCACGGGAGAUCGAUGGAUCCAUGGGAGGUGGGAAUUAAACACGAGAUCCAGGUUAAGGUUCAAAUUUAAGACGAUGGGCCCUGCCGACUUGGCUCAGCCGACCAUCAGCCAGCUGGCUAUGUCGGCCUGAUCCUGGUUAAGCUAAUGCUGUUCUCGUUGGGAGCACCGGACAGCCGUUUUGCCACGGUUUGGAGACGUGUACGGCUGAUGAAAGCCCUGCGAUAAGGAUGAUAGAAGAUAAUGGCACGGUGAUAUGGGAUCCAACUUGAUUACAAGAAAGCAUCGAGCAGGA
rnacentral:lncRNA from 1 species